CACCCCCUUUUCACUUUGCCAAUUGGACUUUCAUGUCUUUAUUGGUCAUUCAAGUGGGGCAAAGAAAUUAUCCUUUUAAAACUCAGGCAGACUUGAGUGUUUGUCUUGUAACCUGUCAGAGGAAACAAGC